CUUCUGGAACAGACAAAUUGUCAAGACUCCUCAUACAUAGAGACCAAAUGUGACAAAGACAGAAGCCGAAAUAUACACUGCCAUGGGCUUUCGUCGUGCGUUCCAGUGACAAAGAUUUCCCAGUCAGGGGUUCCUUGGUGCUUGGAGGUCAGGUUGGGACUGCCUGGAUUUGAGAACCGUGUCCUAUUUGUGAAGAGAGCAAAGCCUGCCCAGUCUGAAUAAUUUGCUGAAACCCGGAUAACGAGCUCAUGGUCUCUGCAAGGUCGAUGGCUGAAGAUUUUGCCAUAAAAC